GAGUUUGAUCAUGGCUCAGAUUGAACGCUGGCGGAAUGCUUUACACAUGCAAGUCGAACGGCAGCAUAGAGAGCUUGCUCUCUGAUGGCGAGUGGCGAACGGGUGAGUAAUAUAUCGGAACGUGCCUAGUAAUGGGGAAUAACUAGCUGAAAGGUUAGCUAAUGCCGCAUACGACCUACGGGUGAAAGCAGGGGAUCUUCGGACCUUGCGUUAUUAGAGCGGCCGAUAUCUGAUUAGCUUGUUGGUGGGGUAAUGGCCUACCAAGGCGACGAUCAGUAGCUGGUCUGAGAGGACGAUCAGCCACACUGGAACUGAGACACGGUCCAGACUCCUACGGGAGGCAGCAGUGGGGAAUUUUGGACAAUGGGGGCAACCCUGAUCCAGCCAUUCCGCGUGAGUGAAGAAGGCCUUCGGGUUGUAAAGCUCUUUCGCAAGAGAAGAAAACUUGCUAUCUAAUAAAUAGUAAGUAUGACGGUAUCUUGACAAGAAGCACCGGCUAACUACGUGCCAGCAGCCGCGGUAAUACGUAGGGUGCAAGCGUUAAUCGGAAUUACUGGGCGUAAAGCGUGCGCAGGCAGUUUUAUAAGUCAGAUGUGAAAUCCCCGAGCUCAACUUGGGAACUGCGUUUGAAACUGUAAGACUAGAGUGUGUCAGAGGGGGGUAGAAUUCCAAGUGUAGCAGUGAAAUGCGUAGAGAUUUGGAGGAAUACCAAUGGCGAAGGCAGCCCCCUGGGAUAACACUGACGCUCAUGCACGAAAGCGUGGGGAGCAAACAGGAUUAGAUACCCUGGUAGUCCACGCCCUAAACGAUGUCUACUAGUUGUUGGUGGAGUAAAAUCCAUGAGUAACGCAGCUAACGCGUG
rnacentral:rRNA from 1 species